GCGCAAAUUUUUAUUAAAAAAAAUAACUCGUAACUACGAUAUAUUAGCGGAAAAUAAGUUUAUCGCGUUUUCCUUAUUUUAUCAAUUUUUUUAGAUUAAAAGUUAAGUCAAUCGGCACGAUGCGACUUUCCAUGCGAUAAUUACGUACUCGGUCGAUAAUAAUAAUUCCCUUUUCUUCUUUCUUUUUUGCGGUUCACGUGGUAGAUGCGAGUAUGCACGGCAAACACGUGACGCUUGCGUGCGGUUCAAAACCGAAUGUGAUCAAUACGCGUACGCGUACUCCGUGCGUACGAUCGUCACGUGUGCCAUGCGUGAUGCAAAUGCGUUUUUCAUGCGUAUAAUUGCGAAUUUAUCGCAGGCCUCUGUUUUUUAUUCCGAUAAUGAAUUCCGCGACUUUCUCCAACUGCCGUCAACGCGAGCCUCGUCGUUUGGCCGCGUGACUCUGUUACAAUCAGAAGCAGAGGGAGGGAGAAUAAUUAAAAAUGAAUCAGAACGGGAAUAAAUAAAAAGUAUACAAUCUUUUUCCAAGGAGUGAACGAAAUUUUGAAAACUUGGAAAAAUUCUGCUCGAGUUUCAAUUUCGAUUCUCCGAAAAAAGGAGUAAAAUAAAAUAAACUCUUCUGUCCAAUAAUUCGCUUCGAUUUCACGUCGGGUCGGAGAUUGGCCACUUGUAGAUUUUUUUCUAAAAUUAUUAUAUUUUUCCUCUUUCAACUUCGCGGAAAUUUUCCUCCUCACAGUGUCCUAGAAACCAUCCAGCGGAAAUUUCUGUGUAAAUAUUGAUUCACGCGUUUUGGAAAAUUGGGCAGGUGUAUCGGCCAUCGAUUCUCCUCGAAUCCAAAAAACGGCAGCUUGUUGGCGCGGGAAUAUAAUCCUCUUCUUGCUGUUUAAGUGUUGCACGCCGAUAUCCUCGAUCGAAGGAGUGGUUGGAAACUUGGCACGAAACUUCCAUCCGGAGUCGGAGGAAGCUCGAAGAAAGGAUGCUCAACAAGUUGGCGAGAUGACUUGCGGCUUCGAGUCGAGGAUCUGUUAUCUAUACGUAUCUUUAAUUUAUUUCUAAAAAACGACGAUGCAGGAAGGUGUUACGAUGACGCCAGUGUUUGGAAAUGUUUGGAUAUGGAUUGGGAAAAUAUUUGUCCUCUGACACUUGGUUACACGCAUCGACACGAUUAAAUUUCGACAUUAUUGCGUUACAAGAAUAUAUAUAUAUAUACGCGUGAGAGAAACAAUUAAAUCAAACACCCAGUGCCAAGUUAAUUCUUAAAAAUAGCUACAACAUUCUGAAUCCAAUUCUUUUUACUUCUACCUAAAGUUUCGUAUUCUCUUAAAAAAUACGAUAUAUAUCUAGCAAACUCGAAUGAAAAUACAUUUAUCAAAAAGAAAAACGAUUCCCUCUUGUCCUCUCGUUUUCACGAUUAUUUAAAACAGAUUGACUUACCUGUUAAGAAGGAUAAUCGUCGCAUGGCCGGAAACGGAUGAUUCCCGCUCGUGUCCAGAAGAUCAAGCUGAUGGACCUCGCCUUUAAUCCUGUACAGCUUUCGGUGGAAGUCCUCGAUCGUUGGUGUAUAACUCUCCUCGAACUUGUUGGACAAAAAUCUGCGAUGAAAUUCGUACGCAUUUUACAUCAUAUUAAAAAGGAAGGUUCGAUAAUUAUGAAGCAAAUUGUUAUUUAUGAACAACGCACUCGCGUGUUCCAUCUCCAUCUUUUUUUUUUGGAGUCAAAAAUAUAUUCGCCGGGACAAACGAACGGUUACACCUGUGUGUUUCACGAUGGAUUAUUUUUCGUGCGAAAUUAAAUCGUUUGUUCUAUUAGCGCGAGCCGACCAAGUUCGAUCGUGCGGAACGUGAAUCGACGGGAAGGAAAAUAUCGAAAAUUUUCACUGCGACGCGUUAAUAAUCCCGCUGGAAAAGUUGUGGGGAGUGCGAUCCAAUUUGUAAACGUAACUUUUGUCGAAAUGCUCGUUUCUAUUUGCGAAAUUAAAUAAAGAUGUAUAAAUCAAGUUUUAAAUAUUGAAUCCUUUGUUGUGCUUGGAUUGUUGCAGAUGGUGUGUAAUUUUUGAUUUUACUUGAUGCGUUAUAUUAUUGCGUAAUAAUUACAGAAUCCAAUAAAAAUCUGUAUACACGUCAUUUCAAUGGAAAGGAAUUAUCAUAGAUAUUUCUUUCGAAAUUGUUGAUGUUUCCAUUCGUGUUUUUUUCAAGCGGGUAAAAAAAUAUUUUAUUUAUCUUCAUUCUCCUUUAUCAACCACGAAACUUUUUUAAUAAAUUUUCGAAAAUGGAAAAUCGAGAGAAAUCUUCUUUUAGCAAAUUACACGAAAAACAAUUUAUAAAUACGAAUGUAUUCGAUAAAAAUAUUGAGAGAACGAAUGAAGAAAAACGAGCAAAUAUCUUUAUCGUUCAAUGCAUGUUUAUAAGAAUUAAAACCUAUUAAAAGAGAAAAAAAAUCAACUGAAAAAUGAAAACACACGAACUAUCGAAACGAAGAAACGGAAUCUAACAAAAAUUAUUCCGGUUCCAGUUCAGAGGAUAAGACCACGAAUGGAAUCGUCGAGAAACCGAACUGGAAAUUCCCGUGGCGAGUCCAUUAGCAAGUCGACCGUCGUAACGCGUGGUUAACGAAACCGGAGACAAUACCAGCCGCAUUUACACCGAACUGAAUCGAAUUCGAGGCGAGCGAAACUCCUUGUUUAGAAACGAAACUCGUAUCGUGAACAAAGGAAAAGCAACGAGCUCUCGCUGUCGUUGAAAACUUUUCGAAUCGGAUCGAGAAGGAAUUUUCGACGAUUUCUGCUCGAUCGUGCUGCUUCUAAAUCUACGACACGUUUCCCACGCCGGCGAACACUUGUCCAUUUUCUAACCCGCCGCGGUUAAAAAUAUCACCGUGUUGAAAGCGCCUCUGAUUUUGAGGGUGGAAGCGAACCGAUACGAUGGUUUCGUUCACGGCAACAGAGUUUGAUCAUCGUUCGUACGAUCGUUGCUGUUAUCGGUGAAAAAGUGUUAGAUGCGGUGUACAUCGAUCGAUAUGUAUAUAUAUAUAUAGAUAUCGAAUGUAAUUAUCCAACUUUUUUUUUAAUAUUGUUUUUUUAUCGAUUUUGCAGAAAAGAAAUUACUUAUAUUCUCUGUAUUUUUGAUGGAAUUUUUUGCGAAAAAGAUUUUGAAAUUUGGAAAUUUCAUUUAAUCACGAAAAGCUGCGAAACAAAUUACGUAAUCCUUCUACAAAAUUCUUCGUACAAAUUAAAGUAGAAAUUUUUUCGCUGAUCGAUAAAAUGAGUGAGCUACAUUUUGGAAAAUAUAUUUCGUGAUAUUUUUAGAUAUACUUUCAACUUUCGGUGAUUUCUCUACGUUGAGACUUAUAUUUUUGUGAAUCGAAAGAACUACUGGAUUAAAUAAAAAGACGAUAAUGAUAUAUUAAUUCGUUUAACGGGUAUAAAGGACGAAUUCUUUUUUUUAUGAGUUAAGAUUUAACGGAAUCGAUUUGAACGAUUUAUAUUUCCUCACAUCGAGCUUUCAACGAGAUGGUAUUUUUUAAACUGAAAGCGGUAUGCUUUUCACCGAUGAAAAAUACAAGAUCGUGGGGAAAAUACAAUAAUAUCACCGUCAGAAUCGCUUUGAAUCGCGACACAGCGAGGAAUUUCUUUCGAUUGUACGUCGAAUCAAUUGGGAAUAAUAUUUCAAAUAAACGCUCGUUACCAUUUUGAACGUUGUUCAAAAAGUCUUUGAACUUUGCUUGUUUUUGGCCCGGAUAAAAGAUUUUAACGCAAAUUUCUGAAUUUGUAUAAAAUAAGUUAUAAAAUAUUGAAACAAUUACUAUCGUUUAAACAAUAGUAUUUUUAUUUUUUUUUUUUAUAAAAAUGUUAAAUUUUCUAUAAAGCAAAUCAAUUUCAGAAUGUUAAAUAUAUAUUUCAUAAUUUUCUAGUUGAUAACAAAUUUAUGUUAUCAUCAAAGGAAUAUGAUAUAUUCCUUUUGACAAUUUUUUUUUUAAAUGUCCACGAAUAAUAAUUCACGACAUUCCGGAUUUUAGACUAAAGAAUAAAGUAGCAAUCUUGGUCGCGUUUCAAAAUAUAAAAUCCGAAAAUAUUUUUAUAUUUUUUCGCAAAAUUAUAUUCCCUGUGCACGUGUCACGACCCAAUUUCUGUAAUUCCUUCAAAAAAAGAAAAAAAAAGAAUGAGAUGGCAAGGGAAAA